AUUGAACGCUGGCGGCAGGCCUAACACAUGCAAGUCGAGCGGAUGAAGGGAGCUUGCUCCUGGAUUCAGCGGCGGACGGGUGAGUAAUGCCUAGGAAUCUGCCUGGUAGCGGGGGAUAACGUCCGGAAACGGGCGCUAAUACCGCAUACGUCCUGAGGGAGAAAGUGGGGGAUCUUCGGACCUCACGCUAUCAGAUGAGCCUAGGUCGGAUUAGCUAGUUGGUGGGGUAAAGGCCUACCAAGGCGACGAUCCGUAACUGGUCUGAGAGGAUGAUCAGUCACACUGGAACUGAGACACGGUCCAGACUCCUACGGGAGGCAGCAGUGGGGAAUAUUGGACAAUGGGCGCAAGCCUGAUCCAGCCAUGCCGCGUGUGUGAAGAAGGUCUUCGGAUUGUAAAGCCCUUUAAGUUGGGAGGAAGGGCAGUAAGUUAAUACCUUGCUGUUUUGACGUUACCAACAGAAUAAGCACCGGCUAACUUCGUG
rnacentral:rRNA from 1 species